AGGUCUAGAAGCUUCUAUAGGCGUGUGUGCAAAGGGCUCACCACUACUCCCAGUGUAGUAACUCCAGAGCAUUGCCUGAGGUUGGUGUUUUAGCAAACCCAGUUUCACCACUGGCCUAUUUGUACUACCACAGUGUGUAGGAAGCCGGCAAUACUAGUGUGGGUCUAGAGGAUGGGGAUGGUUCAGCAGCCCUUGGAUAAAUAUCGGAGUGUGGAGUAUGACGGAGAGGUUUUGUUGUUCCUGUUGUUCUUCAUUCAUGUACACGCUAUGAAACCAGCGUUUUCUUAUCUGGAGCUGUCCCAGGCUUCAGCAUCCAGAGGCUGGUGAUCACUAAUCGCCUUAUUUCCCCUCCUUCAGGGAAAUUCUAACUCCUGUCCUCUGCCGCUGAGUAGAUCUUUAAGCUGGUAAUAACGUGAGACAGAGGGAAAUUAACGGCCUCGUCCUGCUCUUCCCUGGCUGAAAACGGCGGAAUUAAAGAAUUAUAAAGAGAGGGGAUGAGGAGGGCAGGCAGCCUUCCUCUGCCACCAAGUGCUGCUGCAGUGAUGCCAUGUGGGUGCUGCACCCCUUGUGCUUCACUGGGGAUGUAAGUCCGGGAUGCGGGGACACACACACAGAGUGGGACCAGGGCUGCAGUGGCCUUUGUCUGCCUGUGCCAAACAGAUGUGAACAAACCCGAGUUCGAUUUCCAAGACCGCCUGGGGAAUAUUGCAAACUAAUUAUAGCAAACAGAAGAUGCUCUCCCCUCCUCUUGCAGUUUUUGAUAAACAUUGUCUCCUCUCCACAGCUGAGUAUUUAAUUAGUGUUGAUUGUUGUUCGUGUGUUCAAUAACCACUCAUCAGGAGGGGGGUGUCCGCUGGGGCAGCGUGGCCUGGAGCACACAGGAGCCGAGGGUGUUCAUAAUUAAGGAUGCAAUUUAUUUGACAGCAGCCUCCUCCGGGGAAGCGAGCGGCAGCACUCCCUGUGCUGGAUGUGCCGAGCCCCAGAGCACUUGGGAAAUGCCUAGACCAACGUGGGCUUUUUGGCUCUUAAUAGGCAGUAGGGAUGAUCUGUGCGCUGAGCAUCUUCCUAAGGGACAGGCAUGGUCCCGUGGUGAACUGAGCCUUGGAGCACAGAGGGAGGAGGAUGAGGAUACCGGGAGCGCUGCCUCAGCUCUGGUGACACAUCCCUUGUCUCCCAGAUUUACACUCUUAUCUUUUUGCAUUGAAAGCCCUAGGUGAAGACGGAGAAGGUGGCAGGAGAUGCUGGCAGACAUGAAUGCAACGGGGGAGCCAGGGCUGUUAAGCCAAACUGUUCCCUGUGCAAAGGAUGCCAUGAGGGAUGCUGCGAGGGAUGUCACAAGGGAUGCAGCAAACGAUGCUAUCGUGGAUGCAGCAAAGGAUCCUAUGAAGGAUGCUGCAAG